rnacentral:lncRNA from 1 species
CCGUUUAUCCAAAGAGGUCCUUAAGGCAUUUAUAGCACAAAUUAACUGAAAAAAAUUCUUUAUAUAAAAUACUGCAUCAUAAGUCUGCAGACAGAACACAUCCCUGCAUAACCUCACUUUCGAUUCUUCUUCCACAUAAUUUUUUUCCAUAUUAAAGCAUUUUAAAGCGAAACAUUUCAUUUAUACUGUGUUUACAACAUUUCUUUAAAAAAAAGUGUUAACAACAUCCAGACUCCUAACUAUAUAAAAUGAGAGCACCAUCCACCAAUUGACAGUAAAACAGUAGGACUAGGAAUGUAGCAUAGUAUUUAAAAUAAGAGAAAUGAUAUUUGUACAACCAUUUUGUGACAACUUUUAUACAACUUUCUCUCUCAUACUCACAUUAUAUUCUUACUAUCUCUCUUCCUUUUUCUCUCCAUUAUUUUUGACCAAUAAAAUGAAAGAAAAGGGAGGUUGCAUAAAAGUUGUUAGCAAAUGGUUGUUCAAAUAUCAUUGCUCUUAAAAUAAACUAGUAAUAAUACUUUUGAUUUCAUAAACAAUUACGAAUGCAAUAAACACUUAUAUUUUUGGAUUGCAGCAUACGUUUUAGAAAAUCAGUAAAUAAAUUCUGAAUUCCGAUACUGGCAACAGUGAAAAUUAAACAUCAAAGAUUGUGAAGCUAACUGAAGAACUAGGUUAACAUCCAGAGCAGAAGCUCUGAAUGUAAACCCAUAUCCAUAUCUACGUGAAUAGGAUUUUCGUACCACAUCAAUUGGUACAAACACAG